AUGCACGUGCGAUGGUAUAAAACCCUAACUCGCCGGAAUCCAUUUUCUCGCUUCUCCAGCUCAAUUCCACUUGUGUGAUAUCGAGGCUGAUGACUUCCAAUCCGAACAAGGCCUCCGCCGCCGGCAGCGCCGCCUACAAUGAAGUGGCCGUCAAGCCCUCCUCGCACGAUCCAUCAUCAGGAGCCAACAAUGAAAUCAACAAAACUUUUGACGGUAUCAUGGUCAACUGAUUUCAGGUACAAAGACAACGAUUAGAUUAAUCUUCAAAGUAGAUAACAAAAUUCAGUGGCACAAAGAACGUCUUUUAAGCAAGCAAACAGAAAGGCAUCAAAAUCUAAGCUGUGAUGGCAAUACUUCCUCAGACUGAAGCAUCUCACCUUGUUCUUCUCGCAUUCUAUCUUCGAAGAGUCCUGCAAAGCGUCAAUAAAGAACAGUUGAACAAGCACAAGAAGGCAAAAACAAAUUCCAGUCAUCAUUCUCAAGACUAGAAUGCUUCCAUCCAUGACAUCAAAUUGUUCUGGAUCUGAGCAUGAGAUAUGAACACUGCUUGACCAAAUGGACAUAUAGUUUAACAAUGGGCAUAACAUAAUAUGUUGGAAAGACAGCAACAAAACUGCAUGGAUAUGCAAGAAGGGAACAAUGAAUGAUACAUGCCUCCUGAACACAUCAACAGCUGAUUCAAACUGCUCUGGCGCCAAACCAGCUGUGCUGGUGCCACUGCACUACCUCUCAAAUGGACUCCAAACACGCCCAUUGUGAUCAUCUACUGAGAUUGACAUGACAUGGUGCGGUGCCAUGAUCGAAUAGGGUUGACAGUCGGUUCCAGGAUGACAAGAACAAUGAUGGGGGAUCUGCAAGACUCUGUGUAGCCAAAGAGGGGUCGAGAGUCAGCAGUGGAGCAGUCUUAUUGCGAACUGCACCAGGAGCUGAAGACAGACACUGGAAUUGAAUUGAAGCAACGAGGUGGAAUCUGUGAGGGGUCAACUGAGGCUGUUGAAAUUUGCACAAAUUGACUAAAAUGUUUCCAUAUUCAGCAAAUGCUCCACAUCAUCUCGUGAACUGGGCUGCUCUGUUUCUUUUGAGUUCGAUCAUGUCAAUUAUUCUAAAGACACAUGUGCAUAGUUUAGGGUUUAUUCGUCUCCACCUCAAACAAUUCUUCUCACCUGUUUUUGUAAUCAAGCAAUGAAUCUUUUCUUCA